rnacentral:rRNA from 1 species
UACGUAGGGACCAAGCGUUGUCCGGAAUCAUUGGGCGUAAAGAGCGUGUAGGCGGCUUGUUAAGUCUUGCGUGAAAUCUCGGGGCUCAACCCCGAGCGGUCGUGAGAAACUGGCAGGCUAGAGUGCGGGAGAGGAGAGUGGAAUUCCUGGUGUAGCGGUGAAAUGCGCAGAUAUCAGGAAGAACACCCGUGGCGAAGGCGGCUCGCUGGGACGUGACUGACGCUGAGACGCGAAAGCGUGGGGAGCAAACAGG